rnacentral:lncRNA from 1 species
GACUCUACUCCUUUAGGAGUCGACUUCGGUGACGUUAAAGCAGACGUGCCUCCCAAGUCAACGUUCAGGAGAGGUCAACAAGUCAACGCGACGUUUUGGUCGGGGUGUCCACGUAACGACCUGAUGACGGAGGGAUCUUUCGCUGUGGUGGAGACGCUGCGUGGAGGGAAGUGGGUCCCAGUGUAUGACGAUGAUGACUUUAGUGUGAAGUUUAAGUGGUCGAGACAGGUGAAGCUUAGCCCUGAGAGCCAAGCCACGGUGGAGUGGAGGAUACCGGAGUCUGCGGUGGCUGGAGUUUACAGA